GCAAACGAUAAGAAAUGUUAUCAGAAACAUUGGCGAUCCCUGCAGUACUCCUUGUAAUACUCAUUUUGAUUCUAUCCUCUGUCUUGUUCCAUCUUCAAGAUGAAAGAACAAAUCCACCAGGUCCUAAACCCCUCCCAAUUAUUGGUAACCUUCACAUGCUGGGGAAACUCCCACAUCGUUCCCUUCAAGCCCUUGCCAAAAAUUAUGGACCCAUAAUGUUCAUAAAGUUGGGACAAGUCCCAACCGUUGUAGUUUCCUCCCCUGAAACUGCAGAGCUAUUCCUCAAAACCCAUGACACUAUCUUUGCUAGCAGGCCAAAAACUCUAGCUUCAGAAUACAUGUCUUAUGGAAGUAAGGGCCUAGCGUUCUCUGAGUAUGGACCCUAUUGGCGUAACGUGAAAAAGUUGUGCACCACACAACUUCUGAGUGCAUCAAAGGUCGAGAUGUUCGCUCCAUUGAGGAGGGAGGAGUUAGGAGUAUUUGUGAAGUCACUCGAAAAAGCAGCAGCCUCACGUGAUGUUGUGAAUCUGAGUGAACAGGUUGGGGAGCUUAUAUCGAAUAUUGUGUGUAGAAUGAUACUUGGCCGCAGUAAGGAUGAUAGAUUCGACCUAAAGGGGCUUGCUCGUGAGGUUCUGCGUUUGACUGGAGUGUUCAAUAUUGCAGAUUAUGUUCCUUGGACAGGCUUCUUGGAUCUUCAGGUAUGAGCUUCAACUACAUGAUCUUAUUUAAUCCCUUCUUAUACCUUUCAUCAAAGUGCUACUUUCCCUUCUAAAUAUAUAGUCCCUUAAGUAAUAAAAUUGAUUAAGCACUUCUUGUAAAAUAGUAUUGAAUGUUUGCAAACUCGUGAUUAACUUACCCCUUAAUGGGUAUUUUUUUUAAAAAUCUACCGCCAUUUGUUAAUAUUGAAAAAGAAUUGUCCCCUUUGGAUAAAAAACCGUAAGUGGUUAGGCUAUAUUAACACAUGAAGCAUAGUAAAUAUUGUUGGAUUUUUUGACUUGGAUUGUACAUUUGUGUGAAGUUUAUUACUACUAUAUAUGCCACUUAAUCAUUUAGAAAAUCUACAACAGGGACUAAAAGGAAAAAUGAAGAAAAUGAGUAAGGCAUUUGACGAAGUGUUUGAACAAAUCAUAAAAGACCAUGAAGAUCCUUCUGCAAGCAACAAGAAUAGUGUGCACUCUGAAGAUUUUGUGGACAUACUGCUAUCACAUAUGCACCAAGCUGUGAAUCAGCAAGAGCAGAAAUAUGUCAUUGGUAGAACUAAUAUCAAGGCAAUUAUAUUAGAUAUGAUUGCAGGGUCAUUUGACACAUCAGCUGUUGCAGUUGAAUGGGCUAUGUCGGAACUCUUAAGGAACCCAAGUGAUAUGAAGAAACUUCAAGAAGAGUUAAAUAAUGUAGUGGGGGAAAAUAAACUAGUGGAGGAGUCUGACUUGUCAAAGUUGCCUUAUUUGAACAUGGUAGUAAAGGAGACCUUAAGGUUAUAUCCGGCUGGACCCUUGCUAGUGCCUCGCGAGUCCCUAGAAGAUAUUACUAUUAAUGGUUAUCACAUAAAGAAGAAGACAAGAAUUUUAGUCAAUGCAUGGGCCAUUGGACGAGACCCUAAAGUUUGGUCAGAUAAUGCUGAUAUGUUUUGUCCAGAGAGGUUUGUGAAUAGCAAUGUAGACAUUAGAGGACAUGACUUUCAACUUUUACCAUUUGGUUCUGGUCGAAGAGGAUGUCCUGGGAUUCAAUUGGGUCUGACCACAUUUGGCCUUGUUUUGGCUCAAUUAGUGCAUUGUUUCAAUUGGGAGCUUCCAUUUGGUGUGUCUCCUGAUGACUUAGAUAUGAGUGAGAUAUUUGGCCUUUCACUACCAAGAAGCAAGCCCUUGCUAGCUAUACCAACUUAUCGCCUAUUUAUCAAAGCUUAACUAAGGGUCCUUUCGAUUGAGUAGAAAAAAAUAAAAUAAAGAUCAAAUGGUUCAUUUAUCUUUAGAAAAAUUCAUUUUAGUUCUUUAUCUUUUUAAAUUGCCUGCUUAGGAUUGGUGAGCUUCUUAUUGCAGGAAUUAGGAUGGAUCUAGAUGUUUAUGUCUGAGUCAUUGUAAAAUCAAUAAUGUAUUUAUAUAUUGAUUCUACUCAGAUCUUCAAAUCAGAGGUUUUGACUUUUUAGAUCUUCUCUCUGGAGGCUUCUUCAUAUUUACUUCUCUACAUGUUUAGAGUUUCUCAUGUAUGUUGGCAUACGACCAAGUCUAUAGCUUUUACUUUUUAUCUUUUAAUAAUAUGAAAUGGAAGUGGGCCGGCCUUCGGAUAUUUACUUAUGGUCUGAGUAUCUCUUUUUGAUCUUGGUUGUUCCCUUGGUGUUGAUUCAUGAUAUGAUAUUGGACUUGUUCCUUUAUCAUUCUUUUAAUAAGUGACAUUUUUAAUUCAAUUUUAUGAAUAAAUAUUAUUAAAAUGAGUGACUGUGAUAUAACAUACAGUAAUAUUUUUUUAAUGGCUGCUAUUAAAACAAAAUCCUUUAAUCGGGAUUCAUCAAAGACCCAUAUAUCUCAUUUAAUAUUACAGUUGUUAAUUAAUAGCACUUUGAUAAUAAACCGGCAUCUUUAAAUAUUACUCCCUAACAUUUAUGUUUUUUUAAUUAAGAAGAGUAAUAAAUAAUUUAAUUAAUAAAAUAAUUUCACUAAAUUAACAAAGUUUACAUAUUGAAUUAACAAUAACAUUUUAAAAAUUUAGAGGGACUAAAAAUAUAUUUUACUCAUUAUUUAUUUAUGAAAAAACUAGAAUAAAAAUUUAACGAUCCAUUAACAAUUUAAAACAUCGAAAGCACCACUUAAUAUGAAACCUUAUUUUGAGUUUAAAUAUCACUUAUUUUAAGAUGUAUGAAAAUCUAUUUUUAACGUAUUAGAUUUUAAAAGAGUUUUACUUACAUUAAUUUAAGGAUAAAAUAAAUGUUAGAUUAGAAGAAUUAAUUUCUCCUACGGAUAAAAUAAAAAAAAAAAGAAUUAAUUUCAUUCAAAUAAUAAAAGAAAAAUACACUUCCGACUCCACUACUGCUCUCAUAUGUUUGUAUGUACAGGUUCUUCGGCCAGUCAAAAAAUAUGAAUUGAAUCCAAUUAUCGAAAACGAACUUUUAUUUAAUUAUCUUUUCUGUCCUUAUCUCAACCCCCAGUGUGGAUCAUGUGGCUACUAUUAACUCGUAUAUUCUCAACGGAUGGAGGUUUAAUUUUUUCUGUCCUUCAUAAAAUUUUGCUUGGUGGGAAGUAUCCUAUUUUUUAUAAAGUUAUUCUGAGACACCCAUCAAACAUAUACUUUAUAUUGUUAAAAGAAAAAAUCUCUUGCAUCAUUAUAUAAAUGCCAUAUUGGUGUAUAAGACCCAAACCAUUCUCAUUUUCCAUCAAGCAAACGAUAAGAAAUGUUAUCAGAAACAUUGGCCAUCCCUGCAGUACUCCUUGCAAUACUCAUUUUGAUUCUAUCCUCUGUCUUGUUCCAUCUUCAAGAUGAAAGAACAAAUCCACCAGGUCCUAAACCCCUCCCAAUUAUUGGUAACCUUCACAUGCUGGGGAAACUCCCCCAUCGCUCCCUUCAAGCCCUUGCCAAAAAUUAUGGACCCAUAAUGUUCAUAAAGUUGGGACAAGUCCCAACCGUUGUAGUUUCCUCCCCUGAAACUGCAGAGCUAUUCCUCAAAACCCAUGACACU
rnacentral:lncRNA from 1 species